rnacentral:rRNA from 1 species
AUGCCUGCCGCGUGCGAUUGCAAAUCUUAAGGAUUGAAAACUGCUUUUGUAAGCUUUAUUAAGAGCUACUUGUACCUUGAUGACGGGACCUUAUGAAUAAACAUCGGCUACUCCGUGCCAGCCCCGCGGUAAGCGGUGGAUGCGACCGUUAUCCGGUAUCAUUGGGUUUAAAGGGCUGUAGGCGGGCUUGUUAGUCAGAGGUGACAGCGCUCUGCUCAAUAAAGCAACUGCCUUUAAAACUGUUGGUCUUGAAAGAUUGUCACAGUUGCAAUGUAUUCUGUAGCGUUGAAAUGCUUACAUAUUUACAGAACACCCCACAGCGAACGAAUAUUACUAACAAUUGAAACCGCUGAUGGACGAAA